GACGAACGCUGGCGGCGUGCUUAACACAUGCAAGUCGAACGGAAAGGCCCUGCUUUUGUGGGGUGCUCGAGUGGCGAACGGGUGAGUAACACGUGAGUAACCUGCCCUUGACUUUGGGAUAACUUCAGGAAACUGGGGCUAAUACCUGAUAGGAGCUCCUGCUGCAUGGUGGGGGUUGGAAAGUUUCGGCGGUUGGGGAUGGACUCGCGGCUUAUCAGCUUGUUGGUGGGGUAGUGGCUUACCAAGGCUUUGACGGGUAGCCGGCCUGAGAGGGUGACCGGCCACAUUGGGACUGAGAUACGGCGCAGACUGCUACGGGAGGCAGCAGUGGGGAAUAUUGCACAAUGGGCGGAAGCCUGAUGCAGCAACGCCGCGUGCGGGAUGACGGCCUUCGGGUUGUAAACCGCUUUCGCCUGUGACGAAGCGUGAGUGACGGUAAUGGGUAAAGAAGCACCGGCUAACUACGUG
rnacentral:rRNA from 1 species